AUUGAACGCUGGCGGCAGGCCUAACACAUGCAAGUCGAACGAGUGGCGGACGGGUGAGUAAUGUCUGGGAAACUGCCUGAUGGAGGGGGAUAACUACUGGAAACGGUAGCUAAUACCGCAUACCAUCAGAUGUGCCCAGAUGGGAUUAGCUAGUUGGGGGGGUAACGGCUCACCAAGGCGACGAUCCCUAGCGGGUCUGAGAGGAUGACCGGCCACACUGGAACUGAGACACGGUCCGGCUUCGUACGGGAGGAAGCAGGGGGGAAUAUCGCACAAUGGGCGCAAGCCUGAGGCAGCAAUGCCGCGUGUAUGAAGAAGGCCUCCGGUUUGUAAAGUACUUUCAGCGGGGAGGCGUUACCCGCAGAAGAAGCACCGGCUAACUACGUGCCAGCAGCCGCGGUAAUAC
rnacentral:rRNA from 1 species